rnacentral:rRNA from 1 species
AUUGAACGCUGGCGGCAUGCCUUACACAUGCAAGUCGAACGGCAGCACGGGUGCUUGCACCUGGUGGCGAGUGGCGAACGGGUGAGUAAUACAUCGGAACGUACCUUAUCGUGGGGGAUAACGCAGCGAAAGCUGUGCUAAUACCGCAUACGCCCUGAGGGGGAAAGCGGGGGAUCGAAAGACCUCGCGCGAUUAGAGCGGCCGAUGCCUGAUUAGCUUGUUGGCGGGGUAAAAGCCCACCAAGGCGACGAUCAGUAGCUGGUCUGAGAGGACGAUCAGCCACACUGGGACUGAGACACGGCCCAGACUCCUACGGGAGGCAGCGGUGGGGAAUUUUGGACAAUGGGGGCAACCCUGAGCCAGCAAUGCCGCGUGAGUGAAGAAGGCCUUCGGGUUGUAAAGCUCUUUUGUCAGGGAAGAAACACCGGCUCUAACACAGUCCGGGAAUGACGGUACCUGAAGAAUAAGCACCGGCUAACUACGUGCCAGCCGCCGCCGUAA